rnacentral:rRNA from 1 species
GUGAGGAAUUUUCCGCAAUGGGCGAAAGCCUGACGGAGCAAUGCCGCGUGAAGGAUGAAGGCCUAUGGGUUGUAAACUUCUUUUCUCAGAAAAGAAUUAUGACGGUAUCUGAGGAAUAAGCAUCGGAUAACUCUGUGCCAGCAGCCGCGGUAAGACAGAGGAUGCAAGCGUUAUCCGGAAUGAUUGGGCGUAAAGCGUCUGUAGGUUGUUUAAAAAGUAUUCUGUCAAAGAUUAGGGCUUAACCCUAGAUAGGCAGAAUAAACUUUUAAGCUAGAGUUUGGUAGAGGCAGAAGGAAUUCCCGGUGGAGCGGUGGAAUGCGUAGAUAUCGGGAGGAACACCAAAUGCGAAGGCACUCUGCUGGGCCAAUACUAACACUGAGAGACGAAAGCGAGGGGAGCAAAUGGGAUUAGAAACCCGUGUAGUCC